CCUACGGGAGGCAGCAGUGAGGAAUAUUGGUCAAUGGACGAGAGUCUGAACCAGCCAAGUAGCGUGAAGGAUGACUGCCCUAUGGGUUGUAAACUUCGUUUAUAAAGGAAUAAAACGAGGCACGUGUGCCUUAUUGCAUGUACUUUAUGAAUAAGGAUCGGCUAACUCCGUGCCAGCAGCCGCGGUAAUACGGUGGAUCCGAGCGUUAUCCGGAUUUAUUGGGUUUAAAGGGAGCGUAGAUGGGUUGUUAAGUCAGUUGUGAAAGUUUGCGGCUCAACCGUAAAAUUGCAAUUGAUACUGGCAGUCUUGAGUACAGUUGAGGUAAGCGGAAUUCGUGGUGUAGCGGUGAAAUGCUUAGAUAUCACGAAGAACCCCGAUUGCGAAGGCAGCUUACUAAACUGUGACUGACAUUGAUGCUCGAAAGUGUGGGUAUCAAACAGGAUUAGAUACCCCGGUAGUC
rnacentral:rRNA from 1 species